GACAGAGGGGGCAAGCGUUGCUCGGAAUUACUGGGCGUAAAGGGCGCGUAGGCGGGAUGGCAAGUCGGUCGUGAAAUCCUUCGGCUCAACCGAAGAACGUCGAUCGAUACUGCUGUUCUUGAGGGUUGCAGAGGAGACUGGAAUUCCCGGUGUAGCGGUGAAAUGUGUAGAGAUCGGGAGGAACACCGGUGGCGAAGGCGGGUCUCUGGGCCAUUACUGACGCUGAGGAGCGAAAGCGUGGGGAGCGAACAGG
rnacentral:rRNA from 1 species